rnacentral:pre_miRNA from 1 species
ACCUCUGGGUCAGCUUACUUGGCACUUGUGGAAUUUUUUGCUCAGCAAGACUUUGUGUCAAAGAAUUCCCCAGUACUAAGUAUGCUGGCUUGGGAUG